AGCUGGUCUGAUGGUAGUGGAUUAUCAGAACUUAUUAACAUUAGUGUCACUAAAGUUGGUAUUCCACCCCCCACUGCUAAAUUAGACUGGCUUUAA
rnacentral:Y_RNA from 1 species